CCUACGGGAGGCAGCAGUGGGGAAUAUUGCACAAUGGGCGCAAGCCUGAUGCAGCAACGCCGCGUGAGGGACGAAGGCCUUCGGGUUGUAUACCUCUUUUAGUAGGGAAGAAGCGACUGGGUUUUCCUGGGAGUGACGGUACCUGCAGAAAAAGCACCGGCUAACUACGUGCCAGCAGCCGCGGUAAUACGUAGGGUGCAAGCGUUGUCCGGAAUUAUUGGGCGUAAAGAGCUCGUAGGCGGUUUGUCGCGUCUGCUGUGAAAACCGGAGGCUCAACCUCGGACCUGCAGUGGGUACGGGCAGACUAGAGUGCGGUAGGGGAGAUUGGAAUUCCUGGUGUAGCGGUGGAAUGCGCAGAUAUCAGGAGGAACACCAAUGGCGAAGGCAGAUCUCUGGGCCGUAACUGACGCUGAGGAGCGAAAGUAUGGGGAGCGAACAGGAUUAGAUACCCUGGUAGUCCAUGCCGUAAACGUUGGGAACUAGAUGUGGGGACCAUUCCACGGUCUCCGUGUCGCAGCUAACGCAUUAAGUUCCCCGCCUGGGGAGUACGGCCGCAAGGCUAAAACUCAAAGGAAUUGACGGGGGCCCGCACAAGCGGCGGAGCAUGCGGAUUAAUUCGAUGCAACGCGAAGAACCUUGCCAAGGCUUGACAUAUACCGGAAACGGCUGGAAACAGUCGCCCCGCAAGGUCGGUAUACAGGUGGUGCAUGGUUGUCGUCAGCUCGUGUCGUGAGAUGUUGGGUUAAGUCCCGCAACGAGCGCAACCCUCGUCCUAUGUUGCCAGCACGUAAUGGUGGGAACUCAUGGGAUACUGCCGGGGCCAACUCGGAGGAAGUUGGGGAUGACGUCAAAUCAUCAUGCCCCUUAUGUCUUGGGCUUCACGCAUGCUACAAUGGCCGGUACAAAGGGCUGCGAUACCGCAAGGUGGAGCGAAUCCCAAAAAGCCGGUCUCAGUUCGGAUUGAGGUCUGCAACUCGACCUCAUGAAGUCGGAGUCGCUAGUAAUCGCAGAUCAGCAACGCUGCGGUGAAUACGUUCCCGGGCCUUGUACACAC
rnacentral:rRNA from 1 species